CUUCUGUUAAAUUUUGGAGAUUGUCACUGUAAUUCAUGCCUUGGCUGUGCAGGCUUCCCUCCCUGGAAAUGGUCAAAUCUCCACCAUCUUGAAUAUAUCUGAUAUCAAAAGUUGAAUUACAUACAGGGGUGACAAUGAGAGAGAAACUAACAUGUAGAAUGGCACCGGAGUUGGCAAACUUAAGGGGCAGGGAGACUGUAACAGGUUCAGUUUCAGCUGCAAAAUCAGCAAAAUAGAUCGAAGCUUCACCAAGGAACCCUGCUUUUGAAGAUCCCUGCAACAAACCCACAACAAAAACUCAGCAAACACCAGUCACCAGUGGAAACUCAAAACAAUGGAGGAA